AUACGGAGGGGGCUAGCGUUGUUCGGAAUUACUGGGCGUAAAGCGCGCGUAGGCGGGCUGGUCAGUCAGGGGUGAAAUCCCGGGGCUCAACCCCGGAACUGCCUUUGAUACUGCCAGUCUAGAGGUCGAGAGAGGUGAGUGGAAUUCCGAGUGUAGAGGUGAAAUUCGUAGAUAUUCGGAGGAACACCAGUGGCGAAGGCGGCUCACUGGCUCGAUUCUGACGCUGAGGUGCGAAAGCGUGGGGAGCAAACAGGAUUAGAUACCCUAGUAGUCC
rnacentral:rRNA from 1 species